rnacentral:lncRNA from 1 species
UUUCCAAUGGCAAGGGAGUCGUCUUAUUAUCUUUGCUUCUUGUUGUGUGGUGUAAUAAUUUAAAAUUGUUUAAAUUUGAAAAAAUUUUAAAAUGCCACGAAUUCGAAAAUGUUGUGUGCGUGGGUGUAAUAACGAUAACAAAAAGUGCAAUGUGUUCAUUUGGCCGAAAAAUGAAAAAAUCGCAAGAAAGUGGUGCCGAAAUCUAGGCUUCGAGGGAAGAAAAAUAGCCAUCACAAACACGUUUGUUUGUGCAAUGCAUUUUGAGGAUUAUGCACUAGGGGCUAAGAGAUUAAAAAUUGGAGCUGUUCCUACUCUAAAACUUGGAAAAUCUGAUGAUGCUGUUUACUUGUCAAUAAAGAAGAGUAAUGAAGUACGGACCUGCUGUGCUAAGGGAUGUCCAUCGGAUGAAAAAGGCAUACUUUUUGCAUUCCCCGAUGAUGAGAUUGACUUCGAUAACUGGGUUUUAGCGUUAAAAAUAAGUACAUCAUACUCCGACCGAAGAAAGUUAUUUAUUUGUGACCGUCAUUUUGAUGUGGACUCUAUUAUAAAUAAGAAACUUAAGGAAGGAGCUAUCCCGAAGCAUAAUUUAUUUUAUGAAACUGUAGGUAAUUGUAGCAGCUUUUCUUCGAAUAGAGUCCUUCAACCUACUAAACGUCAGUAGUCAUAUACUAAUCAGAAAGGAUAGGGGAAUACUUAAGUUUGGAGGACUUCCAAUUAUAUUGGGAUCUCGAGGUGAAACGUUAACAAUACAAUGUUUCCUCCAGCCUUGAUUCCUCAAAAUGUGUCCAAGAAUCUUGCGCAUGAAUUGCGCGAGCUUGUCAGCAGAGUGCUGAUAAGCAAAAUCAACGCAUAAAUGCGCUCAGGUAGGAGAACAGGAUUUUAAAACAAGAAUUAUUUGAGUUAAGGAAUUGGGCAAUUAUUACAUCCAAAAAUUGCUGAUGAGAAUGCAAUAAGUCUUGGUAGAAAGAGUGUGAAUUCAUAAAGUACAUAAACUGAAGAUUAGAACAAUUUAGCGCAUUUAAAUAAUUUAAAAUGUCUAGGAAAUCUUCAAGCACGAACCAAUCUGUGCAAUACUAAUCGACGAAAUUGUAAUUAAAACAUUUUUUUUAAUAAAAGUAAUGUCAUCGACGUUUUCGUUAACAAAGGGGACGGGGAAAAAGGAAUAAAAUGCAGCCGACAAAUGCAGUUUUUUCUAUGUUAGCCUACGUGAAAAGUUCUUUGCCUAUAUGACUACUGCCAUUUGGUUAAGUCGGUUAGGAAAAAUUUCUUAAAGGAAGACUUUAAAAUUAUCGGUGCAUGCAAUCGAUGGUGGGAGUUAUAAUUGUAAAAUAUGUCUGUAGUUGAGAUGCUCCCACAAUGUGGAACCCACAUAUGUAUGUAUGUAUAUAUGUAUGUAUAUCCCAGUAAUUAAAAAAAUGGUCCUUUCAAGAUGGCAUCGACAUGGAAUUCAGGCAGGGAUUAUUACGUACUAUUCAAAUGCGCCAAAGUGACAUACAUAGUAUGUAAUUGUUUGUGAAGCGCAUGAACGACUUAAUCGAUUGCAAUAUUUAUCAUAACAAUAACAGCUAUGAUGAAUUUAACAAUAGAAACCUCGGUUUUUACGGAUAGUGGAUAGAACUAAAAAAUACUUUAGCGGAAUGGUUUUUAGAAACUCUUUAAUGCCUAAACUAUCGACAACAACUGUUAAAAUCUUUAGUAACAGUACUCUUAUUUAAAAAUGAGAAAUGGUUGGUUGAAGAAAAGCUGCAAGAAAACAUUUACCUACUUUAGAAUAAUAAAUUAAAAAAUUUAACAAAAGCAACGGGAUUAUGUAGUACUUAUUUUGGAUUAAUGGCACUGAGUACAAGGCGCGUGUUUGUAUGUGCUGCCUUCAUAAAUACAGUUUGCAAAAAUACGUUUUUUUCCUUGCGUAACAGUUGUUUAAUUUGUUAUGCUUUGAUUUUUUGGCGGUAGAAAUAACGGACACAACAACGUACAUAUGUAUGUAUUGAUAAAAAGCGCAACCACGAAAGAAAUAUUAUUUUUAUGGAAGCAGAGUUUAGUGCCAAAAAAUGAAAAGGAAGACGAGUUGAGCGAAUAUACAUAUUACGUGACAUUAAGGAAAUUUCAAACAAAAUUCCAUUUUAUCGGGAUCCGUCAAAUUGGGGUAUUUUUAAAAAGUUAGAUGAGAUCUUCGGCAGCCGCAGGUGUCUAGUAAAAUUAUCAGAAAUUCGUUGUGGAAUAUUUAAUAAACGAGGAACCAGUGGCAUCCACCGAUAAUCAAUCUGGCAUUAAACCUUCGAAUAUCACCACUCCGAGAAGUAUUUUUUAUUAGCGAUCUUGAACGGCGACAAUCCCUCCAUAU